UACGAAGGGGGCUAGCGUUGCUCGGAAUCACUGGGCUUAAAGAGUCCGUAGGCGGCCAAGAAAGUUGGGUGUGAAAUACCUCAGCUCAACUGAGGAAUUGCGCUCAAAACUACUUGGCUCGAGAAAGACAGAGGUGAGCGGAACUGAUGGUGGAGCGGUGAAAUGCAUUGAUAUCAUCAGGAACACCGGUGGCGAAAGCGGCUCACUGGGUCUUUUCUGACGCUGAGGGACGAAAGCUAGGGGAGCGAACGGG
rnacentral:rRNA from 1 species